GUAUCUGCUUUGGCAACACAUAUACCAAAAUUGGAGCAAUACAGAGAUUAGCAUGGCCCCUGAGCAAGGAUGACAUGAAAAUUCAUGAAGUGUUCCAUAUUUUU
ensembl:snRNA U6 U6 spliceosomal RNA